rnacentral:rRNA from 1 species
AAUGAACGCUGGCGGCAGGCCUAACACAUGCAAGUCGAGCGAGCGGCGGACGGGUGCGUAAUGUCUGGGAAACUGCCUGAUGGAGGGGGAUAAUUACUGGAAUCGGUAGCUAAUACCGCAUACCAUCAGAUGUGGCCAGAUGGGAUUAGCUAGUUGGUGGGGUAAUGGCUCACCUAGGCGACGAUCCCUAGCUGGUCUGAGAGGAUGACCAGACACACUGGAACUGAGACACGGUCCAGACUCCUACGGGAGGCAGCAGUGGGGAAUAUUGCACAAUGGGCGCAAGCCUGAUGCAGCCAUGCCGCUUGUGUGAAGAAGGCCUUCGGGUUGUAAAGUACUUUCAGCGAGGAGGCGUUACUCGCAGAAGAAGCACCGGCUAACUCCUUGCCAGCAGCCGCGGUAAUAC